rnacentral:rRNA from 1 species
UACAGAGGUCUCGAGCGUUGUUCGGAUUCAUUGGGCGUAAAGGGUGCGUAGGUGGCACUGUAAGUCGGGUGUGAAAUCCUGAGGCUUAACCUCGGAAUUGCAUUCGAUACUGCGGUGCUUGAGGACUGGAGAGGAGACUGGAAUUCAUGGUGUAGCAGUGAAAUGCGUAGAGAUCAUGAGGAAGACCAGUGGCGAAGGCGGGUCUCUGGACAGUUCCUGACACUGAGGCACGAAGGCCAGGGGAGCAAACGGG